UGUGUGACUGCUCUCAAGACGUGUACACCAUGGGACUGUGCUUACUGGUGAAGCCAAGGAUGUAGAUGUGACCAAGAGGUGAAUGAUGUCAAAAACUGACCAGAAGCCAAGGAACAUAGUGAGAUCAGUCCAGCAUCCUACAAGAGACUGUUCAUUGAGUCUACAGAGUUACAUCGGGCUUAUCAUCCAGCAAUGACUUUUAAAAGUGGAGAUAUGGAUAUGGAGAGAUGACUUUGUGAGCAGGUGCUUGCCAUGGUGGUACUGACUUUGCGGGGACAGUGGACUCACUGCUUCUUAUAUCAGCUGAGGUGGUCAUACUAUUCAUAUGAAGUCCUAUGCAUUUUGGA